rnacentral:tRNA from 1 species
GAAAAUGAAGUGUUAUUACACAGCAGGCUGUAAACCUGAAAAAGUCCAAAACCUUUUUCA